UUUUCAUCAGACAAUCUGUGUGAGCACUGCAAAGUACGCUUCUUUAAGGUAAGGAGGUGAUCCAACCGCAGGUUCCCCUACGGUUACCUUGUUACGACUUCACCCCAGUCAUGAAUCACAAAGUGGUAAGCGCCCUCCCGAAGGUUAAGCUACCUACUUCUUUUGCAACCCACUCCCAUGGUGUGACGGGCGGUGUGUACAAGGCCCGGGAACGUAUUCACCGUGGCAUUCUGAUCCACGAUUACUAGCGAUUCCGACUUCAUGGAGUCGAGUUGCAGACUCCAAUCCGGACUACGACGCACUUUAUGAGGUCCGCUUGCUCUCGCGAGGUCGCUUCUCUUUGUAUGCGCCAUUGUAGCACGUGUGUAGCCCUGGUCGUAAGGGCCAUGAUGACUUGACGUCAUCCCCACCUUCCUCCAGUUUAUCACUGGCAGUCUCCUUUGAGUUCCCGGCCGGACCGCUGGCAACAAAGGAUAAGGGUUGCGCUCGUUGCGGGACUUAACCCAACAUUUCACAACACGAGCUGACGACAGCCAUGCAGCACCUGUCUCACGGUUCCCGAAGGCACAUUCUCAUCUCUGAAAACUUCCGUGGAUGUCAAGACCAGGUAAGGUUCUUCGCGUUGCAUCGAAUUAAACCACAUGCUCCACCGCUUGUGCGGGCCCCCGUCAAUUCAUUUGAGUUUUAACCUUGCGGCCGUACUCCCCAGGCGGUCUACUUAACGCGUUAGCUCCGGAAGCCACGCCUCAAGGGCACAACCUCCAAGUAGACAUCGUUUACGGCGUGGACUACCAGGGUAUCUAAUCCUGUUUGCUCCCCACGCUUUCGCACCUGAGCGUCAGUCUUUGUCCAGGGGGCCGCCUUCGCCACCGGUAUUCCUCCAGAUCUCUACGCAUUUCACCGCUACACCUGGAAUUCNNNNNNNNNNNNNNNNNNNNCUCAAGCCUGCCAGUUUCGAAUGCAGUUCCCAGGUUGAGCCCGGGGAUUUCACAUCCGACUUGACAGACCGCCUGCGUGCGCUUUACGCCCAGUAAUUCCGAUUAACGCUUGCACCCUCCGUAUUACCGCGGCUGCUGGCACGGAGUUAGCCGGUGCUUCUUCUGCGGGUAACGUCAAUUGCUGCGGUUAUUAACCACAACACCUUCCUCCCCGCUGAAAGUACUUUACAACCCGAAGGCCUUCUUCAUACACGCGGCAUGGCUGCAUCAGGCUUGCGCCCAUUGUGCAAUAUUCCCCACUGCUGCCUCCCGUAGGAGUCUGGACCGUGUCUCAGUUCCAGUGUGGCUGGUCAUCCUCUCAGACCAGCUAGGGAUCGUCGCCUUGGUGAGCCGUUACCUCACCAACAAGCUAAUCCCAUCUGGGCACAUCUGAUGGCAAGAGGCCCGAAGGUCCCCCUCUUUGGUCUUGCGACGUUAUGCGGUAUUAGCCACCGUUUCCAGUAGUUAUCCCCCUCCAUCAGGCAGUUUCCCAGACAUUACUCACCCGUCCGCCACUCGUCAGCAAAGCAGCAAGCUGCUUCCUGUUACCGUUCGACUUGCAUGUGUUAGGCCUGCCGCCAGCGUUCAAUCUGAGCCAUGAUCAAACUCUUCAAUUUAAAAGUUUGAUGCUCAAUGAAUUAAACUUCGUAAUGAAUUACGUGUUCACUCUUGAGACUUGGUAUUCAUUUUUCGUC
rnacentral:rRNA from 1 species